UUACGGCCGUAUAACGUCGAAACAUCAGUUCCCGUACGAUCACCGAAAUUAAGCAACGUCGAGGCUGGUCAGUACCUAAAUUGGUGACCGCUUGAGAAUACCCGCUGCUGUAAG